rnacentral:lncRNA from 1 species
UUUAACCUAGGUAUAAAUAUCACUUUUUCACUUAUUUUUCAACCUUAAGUCAAAUUUUCUCCUACCCUAGUUGUUCUCCUCUCCUUUCUUUUUUUUCCUCUCAAAGUUUCUUUCUUUCACUAGGAUUUCAUCACAGUUAUGCCGCCCCAUUGUUAGAUUUUUUAUUUUUUUUCCAGCCACCCUAUUGAAUGUCUAAGCCCUCUAAACCAGCCCUAUUUACUGCCUUAAACUUCCAUUUUUUUCCGCUCCUAACAACCACCUUUAUUGUCCAUUGUCGCCUAUUCUCUCUUAUUCAUAUCAGUGUCGAUAAGUCCUAAUUUUCUUUCACUGUUGUUGUGCUUCGUGUGUCGAUUUUUGGCUACUAUUUUUACAGUCAAUAAAUCAUCAUUCCAGACAUUAAAAUUGUUCUUUUUGGCUGUCUAAAGAUCCCUCAUUGUGCCAUCCCAGAUUUCUCUUCAGUUGUCACUCUACUAUUGUAAGUUUUUUAUUUUUCCCUCUGUUUGGAUUUGAUUUAGACGUUCCUAAUUGAGUAAUUAACUAAGAUGUUCAUUCAACAACUCAGAUAUGGGUAAUGGGUAGUGCAAAGUGCAAACUUGUGUGAGAUCUUACACUGUUUUGCUUUGUUAAUAAUUUUUGCUUUGGCCGAUUGCUUUAAAGUUUGAAUGGGAGUUUUUGGUUACUAAUUUUUAGGGAUUAAUUAUGUUUAGGUGAUGCUUUAAACGUCCUGGAUCAACAGUGACUACAGAUCUCGUUCCCGUGUAUGUUUCGCAUCAAAUUAGUGUAAGUAGCCUAGUCGAUUUGGAUCUGAAAAUUGUUAUGGUAACGUUGAUUUGAUUGAACCUUUAAGAGGGUGUUUUAGGGCUUAUUUGACAAGGUUUUAACUUGAUAAAUAUUGUAUUUUAAUUUUAGGUUCAGUUUAAGUCUAAAGGAGGAAUUGCGGGUUUCACAAGUACUGCUACGGUUGUGCGAAAAUAAGGUGUGGGUUCUAACCUAUAAAAUUUAAAUGUUAAAUAAUGUUAUUUUAAUAAUUAGAAUGAUGGUUAAGAUUUCUGGUCAGACUUAAUUAAAUGGCUAAGUGAUUUUAAGGUGGCCGAAUCAGGUACAUUUUAAGCCCUAGUUAAAUGGCAUGUUUGCAAGGUUGCAUGAGUGAUUAAAUGUUUGAAUGUCUGGUAUUGGUAUGAAUUAAUAUGAAUUAUUUUGUGAUAUAAUACAUGUUGGUUGUAUGAGUAACAUGUAUUAGAAUGAAAAUAAAAUGUAUGUUUGGGUUAAAUGCUAUGAAAUAUAUUGAAUGAAAGACUGCUACACAUGCAUUGGAAAUUUGCUUAUGAAUGAUAAUAAAACUAUGGCAUGUUGGAAUGUAAUCAUAUUGAUGGUUAAACUAAAUGAUUGAUAAAUGUUAUUACCGAACGAAAGUGAAUGUUUUUAUGAGAGCAUGCAAAACAUACUAUUGAAAUGAGAAAGUAAUAUAAACAUGAUUUUGAUUGAAAUUUAUAUGGCAUAUCGCAUGUUCAUGGGUUGGGAUUAUGUGGAUGACGGAGGAGUUCCGUGGAGUAAUGGCGGCAUAUUAAGUCAUCAUAUAUGUUGUCAGUGCACUACACUGAGAGUAAUGAGGAGAAUGACGAUUAUAUUGCAUUUAUUUUGAAUGGUAGUAUAUCUGCAAUACGUAUAAUGGUGGUUUAACCACAUCGAGCUCAGCUCGCAAUGUAUGGAGUUUGGCAGAUGAGUUAUGGGGAACUCGUUGUGUGUAGCGGAUGGUUAGGGUAGAAAAUCAUCAUGCAUUAUGUUAUGUCCGUGACACUUUCGAAUUGUAAUGUUUAUGCUAUGUUUGUGUCACAAUGUUAUUAAUGGCGAAUGAUAUUUGAAUGUUCUUAUUGUUUAGACUCACACUGAGCUAGUUAGCUCACCCCAUAGUUUCAACCAUCUCAAGUAAUGCUCGAGACUAAGAUCAGACAUGGCAUGCGGACAUACGACGAACUUCGGACUUAUAAAUUAUUUUGCUUAUUUUUUUUCUAAAUUUAUUUGGUUUUUGGACUGUAAAUUAUUUGGUCUGUGGUUUGGGUUUUCUCUUUGUUUUGGGGUUUUUAUGCAUGCAUACUCAUCUCACUGAUUGGAUUUAGAUGCUUAUUUUGAAACCGAACAAUGCAUGCUACUCGAAUUAAAUUAAAGUCAUCAUAUUAUCUUGCCGCAAAAUCCGUACUUAAAUUUCUGAAAAGUAAAUUAUAAGUCAAAUAUGUUUCCAAAAUUAAUAAGAACUUUUGUUUAAUUGGAUAUAAUUUUAAACUCGGUAACACUAACGUUUUUAUAAAAUAAAAGCCAUUACGGUUUUCUGAAAAUAAGCAAACACUUUAAAAAUAAAUUUCUAAAAGUUUGGUUGUUUUUAUUUAGUCAUUUCGGUGGUUAAUGUGACCUCCAAAAUUCAGUCGCAAAGUCUAAGUCGAGUUUAAAGUGCUACAAUUUAAUUAGAAUUUUUUAAAAAAAAUAUGAAUUAAUUAAACUUUUUUUAAAAACUUUCAAAAAGAAAUAAAAACUUUCAAAAACUUUAGAGAAAGCCUAAUUAAAAUAUUUGAAAAAGUUUGAGAAAAAGAAAUCAAAAUUUUGGAGGUGC